GUCUUCGGCCAUACCACCCUGAACACGCCCGAUCUUGUCUGAUCUCGGAAGCUAAGCAGAGUCGGGCCUGGUUAGUACUUGGAUGGGAGAAAAGUUUUGGUCACUGCACUGU
rfam:Erinaceus europaeus unplaced genomic scaffold scaffold00578, whole genome shotgun sequence